AUAAAACUGGCGUGAUUCCUUUUAUUCAGCAAAAAAUAACUGAUUAUGAAAUCAUAACAAGUUUUUAUGACCCCGUCUGUUAAACUGAGACUAGGUAACAUCUGGUUUAUACCUUUAUCGUCUUUGGUUGUUGUUAGAUUAUCUCCUGCACGACAGCUAAACAACAUCUUGACAAACUCUUCAUCAGCUGUUUCACCUUCUGAGCUCUCAUCAAUCAUUUACAGCCAAGAAAAAGAUCUUUGGCGUGAGAGCAGGAAGUUCUUAUCUGAGGUCGUACUGAAGGAAUGUCGGGCGUGAUUGCUCAGUUUAUAAAUAAACACCGCUGCUUGUGAAUUAUUAACAGAGUCGUUCAGCGUGAAAAUUCAGGACCUUUGUGGGUUUUUUUUACCAAGUUUGGUUUAAGACAUUACUUCAUAUUUGUGUACAGUGUGUGCUGAGGAAAUAUUUGUAUUUCCCCGGUUUGCAACCACCAGCAUCCGCUGGUUGGCGAGUGGUUGCUGGAAAUCACCAGGUGAGAAAGACCCCAAAGCUCGCAGAUUACCUGUAAACACUCUGCAACUAAACUGAGGUCGUUUGGCUUCUAAGUAAAAACUGUCUUUUGAAAUUCACAGUUUCAGCACAGCUCAGAGUAAAUGGCGAAUGUUGGGCUACCACAGCAAUCUGUGGGCGACUAACAUCAUUUCAAGGAAGUUUUUGACUGGAGCACACUCUUUGCAACCAGCCCACCACCAGUGACAGCAACUUCCAGCAACCACUUGCUAACUGGUUAGGGAAUGGUGGCUGCUGGGCCUGUGCAAUCAAUCAAUGCAAUCAAUAAGAGCAACUCUGUGACUUGGAUUUGAUAAGGCAACCUUGAUAAGGUUUGGGGGGUUUCUUUUGGCGUUAUACUCAUUCUUGUGCAUUCUGUAUAUACACUAGCAUGCAAGGACAGUCUUGUAUCUGUUAUAUAACUGUUUUGGCAGGUGCAGUUUCCUGGAAGUUACGUCAUGUACUAAAAUGACAUUCAUGGAAGUCAGGUUUCACCCAUGGUGCAUCUCUUUCUAGGGCUGUUCAAUAUAACGAUAUAUAUCAGAUGAUGAUAUAAAAACGUCUAUCGUUUCAUUUUACGCUAUCGUUUGUUUCGUGGUGUCGCAAAAUAAACUCUUUACGGCAACAUUUUU
ensembl:lncRNA